rnacentral:rRNA from 1 species
GUGGGGAAUAUUGGACAAUGGGCGAAAGCCUGAUCCAGCCAUGCCGCGUGUGUGAAGAAGGUCUUCGGAUUGUAAAGCACUUUAAGUUGGGAGGAAGGGUAGUAACCUAAUACGUUGCUACUUUGACGUUACCGACAGAAUAAGCACCGGCUAACUUCGUGCCAGCAGCCGCGGUAAUACGAAGGGUGCAAGCGUUAAUCGGAAUUACUGGGCGUAAAGCGCGCGUAGGUGGUUCAGUAAGUUGGAAGUGAAAUCCCCGGGCUCAACCUGGGAACUGCUUUCAAAACUGCUGAGCUAGAGUACGGUAGAGGGUAGUGGAAUUUCCUGUGUAGCGGUGAAAUGCGUAGAUAUAGGAAGGAACACCAGUGGCGAAGGCGACUACCUGGACUGAUACUGACACUGAGGUGCGAAAGCGUGGGGAGCAAACAGGAUUAGAAACCCGAGUAGUCC